rnacentral:tRNA from 1 species
GGUUAGAUAAGCUAAACGCUAAGCUAGUGGGCUCAUACCCCGAAAAUGAGAUUUAUUCUCUCUAACCA